AGAGUUUGAUCCUGGCUCAGGAUGAACAUUGGCGGUGUGCCUAAUACAUGCAAGUCGAACGGUGACGAUUUUGUAGCAAUACGAAUGAAAUCAUAGUGGCGAACGGGUGAGUAACGCGUUGGUGAUCUGCCUCGAAGUGUGGAAUAACUUCCCGAAAGGGUAGCUAAUACCGCAUAGUCUCUCAAGGUUUAGAAAAUUGAGAGUAAAGGAUUUAUUCGCUUCGAGAGGAGCCUGCGUCCCAUCAGCUAGUUGGUAGGGUAAUAGCCUACCAAGGCAAUGACGGGUAGGGGACCUGAGAGGGUGGCCCCCCACAAUGGAACUGAAACACGGUCCAUACACCUACGGGUGGCAGCAGUAGGGAAUAUUAGAAAUGGGCGAAAGCCUGAUCUAGCAACACCGCGUGUGCGAUGAAGGCCUUCGGGUUGUAAAGCACUUUUUGGAGGGAAUAGGAAGGAAGGUACCUCCAGAAUAAGUCUCGGCUAACUACGUGCCAGCAGCCGCGGUAACACGUAGGAGGCAAACGUUAUCCGGAUUCACUGGGCGUAAAGCGCGUGUAGGUGGUUCUGUAAGUAGGGCGUGAAAGCUCCCGGCUCAACUGGGAGAGGCCGUACUAAACUGCAGAGCUAGAGGAUGGUAGAGGGAGGUGGAAUUCCAGGUGUAGUGGUGAAAUGCGCAGAUAUCUGGAGGAACACCAGUGGCGAAGGCGGCCUCCUGGACCAUUCCUGACACUCAGACGCGAAAGCUAGGGUAGCAAACGGAAUUAGAGACUCCGGUAGUCCUAGCCCUAAACGAUGCAGACUAGGCGUCGGCGGUUAAUUCACCGUCGGUGUCCUAGCUAACGCGAUAAGUCUGCCGCCUGAGGACUACGGCCGCAAGGCUGAAACUCAAAGGAAUUGACGGGUCCCCGCACAAGCAGCGGAGCGUGUGGUUUAAUUCGAUGCUCCGCGAAGAACCUUACCUGGGUUUGACAUAACAGUGGUAGAGAAGUGAAAACGGAUCGACCCUUCGGGGAGCUGUUACAGGUGUUGCAUGCCUGUCGUCAGCUCGUGUCGUGAGAUGUUCGGUUAAGUCCGCUAACGAGCGCAACCCGCGCUGUGUGUUACAAGUGUCACACAGUACCGCACGGUAUUAAGUCGGAGGAAGGUGAGGAUGACGUCAAGUCAGCAUGACCUUUAUAUCCAGGGCUACACACACGCUACAAUGGUCAGAACAAUAGGUUGCCAAGCCGCAAGGCGGAGCCAAUCCUCCAAAUCUGGCCUCAGUUCAGAUUGCAGGCUGCAACUCGCCUGCAUGAAGUCGGAGUUGCUAGUAACCGCAGGUCAGCAUACUGC
rnacentral:rRNA from 1 species